GACGAACGCUGGCGGCGUGCUUAACACAUGCAAGUCAAGGCGGUAGCAAUACCGACUGGCGCACGGGUGCGGAACACGUAGGCAAUCUGCCCUUUGGGGGAAGACAACCUGUUGAAAGACGGGCUAAACUUCCGUAACAUCCUUGGUAGGCAUCUACCGAAGAUCAAAUUUUCCAGAGGAUGAGCCUGCGUCUGAUUAGUUAGUUGGCGGGGUAACGGCCCACCAAGGCUACGAUCAGUAGCUGGUCUGAGAGGAUGAUCAGCCACAUUGGGACUGAGAUACGGCCCAGACUCCUACGGGAGGCAGCAGUGAGGAAUAUUGCUCAAUGGACGAAAGUCUGAAGCAGCAACGCCGCGUGAGGGAUGAAGGCGCUUUGCGUUGUAAACCUCUGUAGUUGGAGACAAAUGUUUCCCUACCGGGAAAUUGAUGGUAUCCAAAAAGUAAGGAUCGGCUAACUACGUGC
rnacentral:rRNA from 1 species